AUGAUACUCCCUUCAUCUCAAAAUUCUUGUCUUAGAUUUGUCUACAUAUAGAUGUAUCUAUUCACAUUUUAGUGUUAGAUACAUCCGUGUUCAGAUAAAUCUAAGACAAGAAUUUUAGGACGGAGAAAGUAUAAU
rfam:Triticum aestivum genome assembly, contig: Triticum_aestivum_CS42_TGACv1_scaffold_223258_3B